GACGAACCGUCCGAACGUUAUUCGGAAUCACUGGGCUUAAAGGGUGCGUAGGCGGCGCGGAAAGUUGGGUGUGAAAUCCCUCGGCUCAACCGAGGAACUGCGCCCAAUACUACCGUGCUCGAGGGAGAUAGAGGUGAGCGGAACUUAGGGUGGAGCGGUGAAAUGCGUUGAUAUCCUAAGGAACACCGGUGGCGAAAGCGGCUCACUGGAUCUCUUCUGACGCUGAGGCACGAAGCUAGGGUAGCGAACGG
rnacentral:rRNA from 1 species